UACGUAGGGAGCAAGCGUUGUUCGGAUUUCCUGGGCGUAAAGGGCGCGUAGGCGGCAAAUCAAGUCAGCUGUGAAAUCUCCGAGCUUAACUCGGAACUGUCAGCUGAUACUGAUCUGCUAGAGUGCGGAAGGGGCAAUCGGAAUUCUUGGUGUAGCGGUGAAAUGCGUAGAUAUCAAGAGGAACACCUGAGGUGAAGACGGGUUGCUGGGCCGACACUGACGCUGAGUGCGCGAAAGCCAGGGGAGCAAACGGG
rnacentral:rRNA from 1 species